CUGCUGUGUUGACCGUUCUGUUUCUUCCGGUCGGUGUUUGUGAUCCUGAAGCGCCAUAGUGAGAACGGGAGCUGCUGUGCGAGCGCAUGAGCUGUUAAGUGCAAGGCACGGAUGUCGUAUUUCAGUGUUAUGAUCCUGAAGCGCUAAAGCAAGGAAGUUAGCUUCCAAUUUGAAAGAGCUUGUGGGCUGUGGCUAAGUGUAAACAACGAGCUGCAUUACGUAGCAUUUUGACUGACUGAGUACGACGCGAUUUAGGUGCAGAGCUUUCAUUCCCUUUGCGGAUUAUCGUAGAGAUUUUCCAUUGUGGAACUUUGUACACAUGGACCUCUGAUUCUUAGGCCCUGCUGUUUUGCUCAGGAUUAAAUUGUGUUAUUUAGGUUGAUUAUAUAUUGAUUGUUUUGGAAAUUACUCAUUCUAUUAAUUUAUUAUUUUGAUUUUGUUUCGUAUUUAUUGUACCAACCGCCAAGACCUCAAGCACUGUGACUCGGGGAGAAUUUAAUCCAUUUUUCUGUGUUUUAGGAGCCAGCCUG